rnacentral:lncRNA from 1 species
UUUUUUUGUUUUGUUUUUUUUGUUUUUUGCUUUUUAUACUUGCCCCUGAGGUAUAUGGAAGUUCCCAGGCUAGGGGUGGAAUCAGAGCUGUAGUCUCUGGCUUACACCACGGCCACAGCCACAGCAGAUCUGAAUUGUGUCUAUGACCUACACCAUAGCUCACGGCAAUGCUGGAUCCUUAACCCACUGAGUGAGGCCAGGGAUCAAACCUGCGUCCUCAUGGAUCCUAGAUGGGUUUGAAAUCACUGAGCCACAACAGGAAUUCCUGGAAGCUUUGAUAUGAGUCCAGAGCUAAGGUGCUGCCCCAGACUCGGAAUCCGCUGGCCUUGUAUGUCCCCUGGAAGCUCAGCUCCUUUCUGGGUGCAGUGAAGCCCCAGCAGAGGUCGAGGGCUCCGGAUGCAAGACCAAAGCUUCUGACAACUUGCUAGAGUAGCUGGGAAAGUUUUUCCCUUCAAAGAGCAGGAAACCAGCUCCCAAGAUGGUUCAGGAGGGGGCUGCGACCCCUGAGCCCCUGGGCGGGGCUCACCUCUCCUGUGUCAUUGUUACAUUCCCAGGAGGAACGAUAUGGCCGUUUCUACCCGUGGAAGGGUCUUCUGAGGUUCUACUACACGGCCUGGUUGGUUGUGGGCGAUGGCAGAGACUGUCCAAGAAGGACGUUCUUGCUGCCAAUAUUUUCAAGAGCCCUUGGGGAAGGUCAAGGGCAAAGACCGCGAGAAUGACGGUUCCGCCCUUGCUUGCUCGGCGGAAUCUACUGGGGCAACUGGGCUCUGUAAAUUACCCAAGAGCAACUUCUUUCACCCAGGGGGAGCUUUUGCCCACUUCAGAACAGCUGUUGUUAUCAUUAAAACAUAAAUGUAGUGGGACAUUUACAGUGCUUCAUUUCGAGACGGGAAAAAUCUAGGCAUUAAACCCUUUAACUAUUUUCUUAUGCUAUAAAAUAAGAUUCAAAAUGCAUUUAUUUAAUGAUCUCCCUCCCUCCCCGAGAUUAAAACCGUAGAUAUGGAAAAAUACCGGUUACUCUCCCUUUUUGAGACCCAGCUGACUUACUUUAAUCGCUCUGUCCCUGACAGACCAUCCAUGUCUAGUGCAAAUUCUACCCUUCCUUUGUGUAAAGAAGUAAAACGGAUUAGUCCACGUUCUAGAUUUUCUAAAUUUAUUGAUUGAACCCCAGCAUUUCAAUUCACGCCAGAAUUUUAUUCACUAAUGGUUUGACACUGCACUUUCCUGCAUGGCUCUUUUAUAGUUAGCAAUAAUUCUAUCAAAAGGAACACAUGAAAAUAUUCUAUUUAUAGUCCUGUAGGCAGAACUUGGCUAACACAAGGCAUCCUGAUUUGCUUGUAUGCAGCCUCCCAUAGGAGGCAGACUUGCGAUAUUAACGGUGCAAUUCCAAUGCUUUGAGAAGAUGAGAAAAAAAAGAAUAGUUCAUAGAUCUAUUGAUUUCCAAAAGUCCCUUUACUGUGACCAGGGCUUGAAGUGCUUGGCAAAAGGAACACAAACAUCGUUCCCCAAAUAAGGACCAGGACCAGAGUCAAAGUGGUGGAGCACGCCACUCCCGUGGGGCCCUGCCCUUGCCAUUCCCUUCCCAGCCCCUGGCCCCCCGGCACCCCAGGGACUUCCCGUGGCCCAGGCUGCUGUCCCUGGUAGUGCUGGGUGUGGGCUGAGCCACCGUCUCCUCGGAGACAUACCUGUCUUGAGUCCCAGCACUACCUAAUGCACUACCCCUUCUGCAAAUAAGGCCCUAUGUUUCAACAGAGCACGUCCAUAUUUCAGCCUGAGUGACUAACAGCUGGAUGGAUCUAGUGACGGGGACGAGGAACCAAGAACAAAAAGGAGAGCUCCCGCCUCUUCUUCCUCUUUGAUCUGCAUGAUGCUGUGGGUGGGCUUCUGGGAGGGGUCGGGUCACAGCAAGGCAGGCGAGGCAUUCCUCAGCAUCUUCUAGUGCAUGAUUUAACACUUACAUGGCAACACCAUGUGAGGCUCAGGGGCUUAAAAACAAAUGACAUGAGGUCUGUGUUCCCUGGUGAUGCAGUGACAAACAUGUGAGCCAGCAGCUCCAGCAGGGCAGUGUGGCAAGUGCUGCCACGGAGGCCAUGACAAAUAUGGCAUGAGGCGGAAAUCAUUAAGUCUGAGCAGGGGAGCAAAGGAGGCAUUUGAUGUGGGUUCCAAUGGCUGAAUAGGAGUUUUCUAGAGAUCUGGGGAAGGAAGAGUGGGCAGGAGAGUAAUAUUUAAGGCCAGAGUGUUAUGUCACGAAUGGCAGACCAUCAGCAUGCUUGGUAAAGGGGGCUGGGCAGUGGCCGGCUGGUUCUGAGGCUGGGUGAGCCGUCGGGGCCAAGUCACGAAUGGUCUUCUGAGGUGGGCAUGCAGCUGGCCAGAAGCAACCGCUGGUUUCGAGCAAGGGCCUGACUUAAGUAGGUCCGAUUCUUCCGACAGUGGUGCUCAGGGGGAGGCCGAGCAGGGGAUGGUUGCGAAGCACCAGCUAGGGAUGUGGAGGCCUGGCCUGGGGCGGAGUCAAGAGACGUGCUUAGAGAGGACUGAUUGGACUUGUGAGGGAGAGAGACGAGGGACCUCAAGCCUCCCACCUGGGGGGACGUUGACACGCUAGACCCAGAAAGGGGGGUCAUAGGUCCGGCUGGCUGGUGGGGAUCUCGUGAGCCCAGCAGUGAUGGCCGCCUGGAUGGGUCCUUCCCCUCAGAUAGAAGGGCUCUGGCAGACACCUGUCUGCUCUUGCUGCCUUUUACCCCUUGCCCUGCCCACCGCACGGUCCUGUGAGCCUCGGCAAUUGUUACAGAACAAAGAGGCUGAGCCAGGGUUCCAGCCCCUCCCCAGCAUGCCUGGGACCUAGGGAGAUGCAGCUGGAGAAGGUGUGACAUGGCCAGGAGAAGCCUGCUCACGGACCUCUGUUCAUGGCAUGGUUUUGGUUGCUGUUGGUGUAGUCAUACCCGGCCGUUCUAUAAUGGGAGCCAGUCCAUUGACAAGGAACUGGGUCUUGUCUAGAUGACAGGAUCUAGGGCUUCCUGCCUCUCCAUUUGCUUUUUCUAGGACAAAGCUCAUAAAUGAAUUGCUUCCUUCCUUGGUUGCACUGGGAACAUGGCAAGGCAGCGGUUGCUGGAAAAGCAUGUUUUUUCUCUGCCUCUCUUUUUUUCUGUCUUUUUAGGGCUGCACCUGCAGCAUAUGGAAGUUCCCAGGCUAGGCGUCAAAUCUGAGCUACGGCUGCUGGCCUACACCACAGGGACAGCAACACAGGAUCCAAGCCUCGUCUGCAACCCACACCACAGUUCAUGGCAACGCUAGAUCCUUAACCCACUGAGCGAGGCCAGGAAUUGAACCUGCGUCCUCACGGAUACCAGUCAGAUUCGUUUCCACUGAGCCACAAUGGGAACUCCAAAAAGCGUGUUCUCUUGAUUCCAGUGCUUGAAACAAAUUUACACAGCUACUUGGCUUUUGUAACACUCAACUUUGUUUCCAGAAGUAGCCACUGUUUUCUGCCCUGUGGAUUCUGGGGACAGAGUGGUCCAGCUUCGUGAAGGUCAGAUUCCAACUUCGAUUCUCAAAGUGCCUCAACAAGCUUCUUUUCUUCCGUGUUCAUGAACUUAAAUAUCAUGGUGCCAAAUGGAUAUCCCACGAUAGCAGCAGUAAUAAAUGUUACCACGUCAUUAUUUAUUUCCCAUUGAUUUAUUUUAGAACAUCAUUCUCCAAUAUGAGGCCCUUGGAACAUGCAUCCUACAAACUGCUACUUGAAAAAGGGGUUGAUUAUUAGAUAUGUUUGGAAAAGGCUGCAUUUCUCAUAUCCCUCUUGAAUAUGUGCAACUCACAAUAAAGGCUCUGAGAAGUCCUGCACUAAAAAGCUGUAAGGACUGGGUCUCCCAAAGUUUUAGUACAUGAGAGUCUAGACCCUUUAAAAAUGUUUUUUUGGGAGUUACUGUCAUGGCUCAGGGGUUGAGAACCCGACAUGGUAUCUGGGAGGAUGCCAUUUCAACCACUGGCUUCGCUCAGUGGGUUAAGGACCAGGUGCUGCCAUAAGCUGCAGUGUAUGUUGCAGAUAUGGCUUGGAUCCCGCAUUGCUGUGGCUGUGGGCUAGGCCCGCAGCUACAGCUCUGAUUCAAUCCCUAGCCUGGGAAUUUCCAAAUGCUACACACGCAUCCCACCCCCCAAAAAGAAUUUUACUUCUAAAAAAGGUGCUUAGGUGAGGGAGUUGGUCAAUCCUUAUGUUGACUACAAUGAAUUCUUUCUGAAUAAUUAGGCUUGACUUUACUCAACAAAACCUAUAAUGAAAAAUUCUGGGCGUUUCCUGGUGGCCUCAUGUUCAGGGACUUGGCAUUGUCACUCAUAUGGCUCAGGUUCGAUCCCUGGCCUGGGAACUUCUGCAUGCCAUGGGUGUGGCCAAAAAGAAGUCUCUAUAGUAGAGCGUUCAUAUCACUGUAUUGCUUUUUUUUUUGCCAUUUCUUGGGCCGCUCCUGCGGCAUAUGGAGGUUCCCAGGCUAGGGGCCGAAUCGGAGCUGUAGCCGCCAGCCUAUGCCAGAGCCAUAGCAACGCGGGAUCCGAGUGGCCUCUGCGACUUACACCACAGCUCAUGGCAAUGCCGAAUCGUUAGCCCACUGAGCAAGGUCAGGGAUCGAACCUGCAACCUCAUGGUUCCUAGUCAGAUUUGUUAACCACUGAGCCACUUCGGGAACUCCUCACUGUAUUGUUCAUUUAUGCACCAGUACAUAAAUGUUAGCACUUUUUACUUUAUUUCGGAGAUCGGUUCCUCUGGGGGGGCCACAACCUCACAAAGGACCUUGGAGUAGCAGGACUAGGAAAAGCGAUCAAGAAGGACCUUCAGAGCUGCCCUGUAGCAAGGGCUCAUGAGGUGUCAGGCCCAGCUCAAAACACGUUUCCUGCAUCUCCCUGAUGGGCACAGAAUAAGGAGGUGGCAGAAGGCCACAGGGCUGAGAAGCAUCUUUGCAGCCCAUGGUCUUAGUUACCACCGGGUCAGUUUCAUCUGAAAAAUAGUAACACCUCCCCUGCCCUCCGUUGAGGAGGGAUUAUAAGAAGCUUGAACCAUCUCGGUUACAGAUACGACGCUUUGAAAGUGGGGGUGUCUGGGGAGAGGAACAGGUCCUCCGUAGCUUUCACUCUUAGCAGGAUUCCACCCCGGGGAAGGGAGCCGGCAAGAAGCACACUGCUGAUUAAUAUUCGAUUUCUGUGCCUCGCCCCCGCACGCCCACAGCGUGCUAAAGUGAAGGAAAUGUCUGAAGGCCAGAAACCUGUUAGGUGGGAUAGGACAGGCUCUCAGACCUGGGUGAUUCAAAACAGGCUAUUUGUCCAUGACCAAAACCAGGAGGCCUGCGAUCAAACAAUGAGACACACGCAGGUACCAGAGGAACCGCUCUUCGCUCUUCUGAGCACCAGCCUAUAAUUGUUUCCCAUGCAAAUAAGGUGCCCCGCCUGGAACCAAUCAGAGGAGCCAAACGCGCCCCCCCCCAUACAGGCAUCAAAACAACUCUCAGCCUUUCCUCCGGCGCAGGGGGGUUGGGACAGGAAAUAAGUGUGCCUGGGUCAAGAGAACUGGGGUCCCCAAACAGGUCCGCGAUCUAGGGAUGUAAGGAAAGACCCAGUUGGGGCCAGAGCCAGUCCCUCCCCCUGGGCGGCCUGCUCUGAGGGAGUAAAUAAAACUUGCUCUACACUGCUACCUGACUCUUGAUUGCCAUCAAGAUUGAGAUCUCCCAGGCAACCAGCAGGAGCGCUUUUCGCUCAGGGCAAUGGACCCGGCUUGGCUCAGUAAAAGAGCCCAGGUAAGAGCUGUCACAGGAAGGUAGUGUCUGCCUGAGCUCUUCGCUCCCGCUUGGAGAGACCACCUGCCUCCAUCCCUGCAUGGCAAGACCACUGGGUCUAUCCGGGCCACUAUGGCGCUUCUCAGCCUGCACUUCCAAAUCCCUGUUGUGUGGCGGCAAGGACUGAGAGAGAGAGAGAGAGAGAGAGAGAGAGAGAGAGAGAGAGAGAGAGGGAGAGAGGAGACCCUGACAAAUAGAAAGGUCCCAGCACAGAGCUUCUGGAGCCGGUGCCCCGACUCCCCUUAGCCGCCUCCGUGUACUGUGCUUCGGUCCCUUCACCAACAUGAUGGUUAGAACUGGAAGGAAGCGCCCCCAUCCUCAGGUCUAGAGAUGUGAAGAUCUAGAUCAUCUAGAGAUGCUUGGGCAUAGGCCUAGGGCCAUAAGGUGGUACCUCUGGGACAAUGGAAGGAAGAGGGGUGUUGAGUGCUCUUGGGGUUCCCCCUAACCUCUAACAGAACAACUCUGACCUAGCUUGCUUAGGGUAUUGGAAGUCUACUCAUAGUCCGUUUGAAAAAGGAGGUUCUAGGAGUUCCCAUCGUGGCUCAGUGGUAACAAAUCAGACUAGUAUCCAUGAGGCUGCGGGUUCGAUCCCUGGCCUCAUUCAGUGGGUUAAGUUAAGGAUCUAGUGUUGCCGUGAACUGCCGUUUAAUGGUAUAGGUUGGCAGCGACAGCUCCGAUUAGACCCUUAGUCUGGGAACUUCCAUAUGACACAGGUGCGGUC